UACGGAGGGUGCAAGCGUUAUCCGGAAUCACUGGGUUUAAAGGGUGCGUAGGCGGCUAAAUAAGUCAGAGGUGAAAGCUGGCAGCUCAACUGUCAAACUGCCUUUGAUACUGUUUGGCUUGAAUCAGGUUAAGGUAGGCAGAAUGUGGCAUGUAGCGGUGAAAUGCAUAGAUAUGCCAUAGAAUACCAAUUGCGAAGGCAGCUUGCUGGGCCUGAAUUGACGCUGAGGCACGAAAGCGUGGGGAU
rnacentral:rRNA from 1 species